rnacentral:rRNA from 1 species
GACGUAGGGCGCGAGCGUUGUCCGGAUUUAUUGGGCGUAAAGAGCUCGUAGGCGGUGUGUCGCGUCGGCCGUGAAAACCUGCAGCUUAACUGUGGGCGUGCGGUCGAUACGGGCAUCACUGGAGUUCGGCAGGGGAGACUGGAAUUCCUGGUGUAGCGGUGAAAUGCGCAGAUAUCGGGAGGAACACCAGAGGCGAAGGCGGCGAACUGGACAGUAACUGACACUCAACUGCGAAAGCGUGGGGAGCAAACAGG